GUGCUCACUUUGGCAGCACAUAUAUUGAAAUUGGAACAAUACAGAGAUUAGCAUGGUCCUUGUGCAAGGAUGACAUGCACAUUAGUGAAGCAUUCCAUAUUUUU